ensembl:lncRNA
CUCCUACCUUUCUUCUGUUCCCAGGAGAGCUCUGAAAGUUUUUCUCUUUCUCCAAAGCAUCUGUGGAGAGUCUGGGAGGACUGUUUUUCCCAAACACAUUCUCUCUCAUGUCUAGGGUGUAAACUGUCUCUAAUCAGGGUCCAAAGACUAAAACAUAACUCUAAAAUAAUGCAUACACAAAAACACUUUACCAUUACCUUGUCUCUUUUUUAUUACAAGUUUUACUCAUGCUAGCCCAAAUCAUCGAGGCCUUUUCUAGCCCAUCUUACCCCAAUACGUCCCUGUUUUAUGGCUCCAGGAGAUAAGGGCCAAAAGGUUUUAUGGCCCCUGGUUCUUGGAACAGAGCUACUAAAUCAGGAGAAGGAUCGGAUCUUCAGGUCCUUAUUAUUUUUAUCUCGUCCUGUCGGAGUAAAAGUUGGUCAGAGUUGAUGAAGCAUCUGCAUUUGAAACACAUCUGGUUAGGCUUGGGCCUGGAAUGUUCUCUGUUUUAACUUUUACCUUUGGCUGUUGGCAGUUUUGUAGUCCGAGGGGCUUCUCUGUCCCCCAACCUGGGGCAUUUUGACCAUAGGAGCAGGAACUGGCUGCUGUGGGGAUAGGAUCAAAGGCACUCUCCAUGUUAAUGAUGACUAACGAGAAAAAUAACUUAAUGCUGGAGACUGACUCCUCUCUUGGAAUAAAACCAACAGAUAAGGCAGGCUCCCUGAAAGAACUUCUCUUAAUGAGCACUCUCUUUCUGUGAGCAAAAGUUGAAGGUCUGGCCACUAAAAGCAGAAAUUCUUUUCUUGUUCUUGUUUUCCUUAGAGUCCUCCCCCACCUCACUCUCAGCCUUUUCAGAUCAUUCCUCCUGUAGCAUUUCUAACGCAGCCUGUCCCUUUAAGGUUCCUUGUUCCCAAGCAGAAUUUAAAUCUUUCCCAGCUUUUCUUAGCUGUCCACCUCGAGAUUCCCAGAGAGCGAGCCAAGGUGCAAUGGCAAUCGCACUCACUAAGAAAUCUCUCUAUAGUGCUUCUUUUUAUCCUAAGCCUUUUUCUUUUAAACAGCUCCUGAAGAGCCAGAAAAAUUGGGUGAGACUGAGCAGUCUCCAUGUUCACUGUAGCAGCUCCGCAGCUAGUUUCGCUCCCCCCUACUGUGUGGGCUGGGAGCACAAGCACAGAUAAAACACUAUGCUUCAAAAAUUAACGUUGGCUAUCAACCAACACACCGCCAAUAGAGCAGGGUCCAUAAAACUAAGUUUCCUUUCACUACACCUGUUCCAUAGCCGGAGAGAGGCAGGCUCUGGUUAAACUCCCCCAGUCUCCAGGGGUGAGACAGUAUCUGCCAAGAGCCUCAAUUUGAGCGAUAACAAAAGCUGAGUUGACUCCAUAGGUUUUGACUGACUUUGUUAAUUGUUUUAUUGUCUUAAAGUCAACAGGUUCAUGAUGUUGCUGCCCGUUUGCAUCCAGAAAAACUGGAAAACUCAAUCCUAACUCUUUCCAUACUUCCGGGCAAAAAGAAGUACUUCCUGCAGCCUUCACCAUUGUUUUACCUUGAAAGUUAUACGGGGGUGCAGGAGGUGCUGUUGGCAUAAUUGCCUUCUUAUUUAAGUCCUUGGCUUGUUUCUGCACAGCGUAAGUGUUUGGCCAGUCAGAAUGAUAAAUCUCUUUCUCAUAAUGAGCUACCUCCUCCUCAAGGUCAGCUAAGUCACUAUCACUAAACUCUGAAUCACUAGACAUCUCCAAGGUAAUGCCUUUAAUGAGGGAUAAAUUUUUUUUUUGUUCCUAGAUCCUGAUUACUAUUCUCGCCUUUGUCUAUCCUCUCCUUGAUCUUUUCUGCCUUUUCUUUUACCUCUUUUCCUCCUUUUCUUUUCUUUCCUUCCUUCAAAACUUUCUCUCCUUCUGACAUACUCUCCUGUUGCUCUGUAAGGAUUCUCUGAUCUGUCCUAACAGCUUCUUCACAUCGUUUAUCUUCCAAGCAGGCACGGAUCAUACGCCAAAGCGGCCUUGUCCCUGGUUUAAGCUUGCCCACUGUAGUCUCCUUAUCCAGAUCUUUUCCCAGCUUCUCCCAUGCUCUCAAAGUGAGCGACCCUGACACUAUAAACCACGGGGCACAAUGAUUACACUCAUCAAGAAAACUCAGCAGGAUUUUCUUUUCAAUUAUAAGCUUCCCUAACCAAGAAGAUCCUGAAGAGCUGACAGGAGCGGGGUGGAGUGUGAGCUUCCCAUGCUUUUACGACCUUAUUUACGAUCGAUUUACAAGCAAGGCGAGCUGGCGAGCUGGCAUGUUUAUUUACACACGAUCUUGUGGCUCAUCAUUGACCCUUCCCAACAAAUGCAUUCGUGCCCUGGACGGUGGCAAUUCAGACAGAAGCAACACCACAACACAAAAAGAGUAUAAGGCAAAAGUGCUAGUCCAACCCACAAAGGAACAAAUGGAAAAGACAACAUUACCGUGCUCCACAAACCCCUUUUUGCCUCUAAACCAAGGCUAUCAUUGUCUCUGCUUUUCCAGAGAACUUUAUUGUCCUACUAGGGAAGUUUUACAAUCCCUUAUCCCGGAGCUUUAUCGUCCCAACUUCAGGAACUUUACCGUUCCACUUCUCGGAACUCUGUUGUCCCAAUUCCGGCAACUAACUGCCCCUACUGGGAACUUACCAACGUCGACCGUCCUGAGGCUGAAAAAGUUCUGGAUCCAGACGAGAAAAGAUAAUUUUCUCGGGUCCCCGUAUGGGCCACCAGUUGUCGCGCCCACCUCGACCGGCAAGGAAGACGCAACGCCGUUGGAUCCUUCUCAAUCAGCCUUUAUUGCAGGAACACCUUAUUGAUGAUACGGGGACCCCGGGGAACAAAG